rnacentral:rRNA from 1 species
GUUUUCCUACGGGAGGCAGCAGUGGGGAAUAUUGCACAAUGGGGGAAACCCUGAUGCAGCGACGCCGCGUGAGAGAAGAAGUAUUUCGGUAUGUAAAGCUCUAUCAGCAGGGAAGAAAAUGACGGUACCUGACUAAGAAGCCCCGGCUAACUACGUGCCAGCAGCCGCGGAAAUACGUAGGGGGCAAGCGUUAUCCGGAUUUACUGGGUAUAAAGGGAGCGUAGACGGUGAUGCAAGUCAGAAGUGAAAGCCCGCGGCUCAACUGCGGGACAGCUUUUGAAACUGUAUGACUAGAGGGCAGGAGG